UACGUAGGGUCCGAGCGUUGUCCGGAAUUACUGGGCGUAAAGGGUGCGCAGGCGGUUUUGUAAGCCAGAUGUGAAAUCCCCGGGCUCAACCCGGGAAGUGCACUCGAUACUGCGUAGCUUGAGUCUCGGAGAGGUUGGUGGAAUUCUCGGUGUAGAGGUGAAAUUCGUAGAUAUCGAGAGGAACACCGGUGGCGAAGGCGGCCAACUGGACGAAGACUGACGCUGAGACACGAAAGCGUGGGGAGCAAACAGG
rnacentral:rRNA from 1 species